rnacentral:rRNA from 1 species
UWSRURUGUCNNGCCNNCNUNNNAAAACAUAGCUCUCAGCAAUAUGAAAAAUAGAAGUAUGGAGGGUGAGGCCUGCCCAAUGGUUGUAUCUAAAAACGGUUGAUAAAAGUCGACUUCAUAAGGACAAUUGAAUGGCCGCGGUAACACUGACCGUGAUAAUGUAGCGUAAUCAAUAGCCAAUUAAUUGUUGGCCAGUAUGAAUGGCGUCACGAAGGCCCCACUGUCUUAAGAUAAUUCCCAGUGAAAUUGAAUUCGUAGUGAAGAUGCUACGUCCAAUUUGUUAGACGAAAAGACCCCAUUGAGCUUUACUGGAGACUUACAUUGCUCGGAUCGACUCUCGCCCCCCCCCAUGGCGGGGGGGGGGGUCGAAUUUAAAUGGAUAGCUUAGAUUAUGUGGUGUCAUAACCAUCGAUCAAGUAGUCCCUACGGGAUUGCCCCGAAGGUUGACCUGUUUGGGUGAAUGAAACCCCACUCUUUUAUGUUAAAUGAGCUAACCCUUUCUCUCUUAAGGGGGACAAUGUAAGUUGGACAGUUUGGUUGGGGCGACCGCCUUUUAAAGAGUAACGAAGGUGUGCUUAAGGUACACAAUUAAUAUCAGUAGCCUGACUGCGAGGGGGAUUACCCCGAGCAGACACCUAAAGUCUUCUCCCUUCCCCCCGAAGGUUAAAGACGAAUGGUGGGUUAUAGUGACCCGUUAAUUUAGAGUGGAAUAGUUAACGAUCAACAAAUAAAAGUUACCAUGGGGAUAACAGCGUAAUAUCGUUAGAGAGUUCACAUCGACGACGAUGUUUGCGACCUCGAUGUURAAUUGCGCAUCCUGGGUGCAGCGCUCAGUGGUGNUUUGCGGYUUACANNCG